GUAGAAGGCAAGAGAAUGAAUAAUCAAACACCACAGUAAGCUACGGACACAUUCCCUAAGCAAAUAGAAAUAUAAAGAAACCAAAUUAUUAGGCACAUUUGUGGGGAAAUCUUUAUUUCUUAGGUGAUUCAUAAUUCUAAACUGCAAUCCUUUAUGUCUUUGAUCGUACUAGGUGAAAUCUGUACAUCACACCAUGAAAUUGCUUCUCUACUAGUUACUUUUAUUCUGAUAUUCACAGGAAACGUAAGGACGCCACAUGGUGACCUCUUUUCUUCUCAUAGAGAACUCUUUGUCCUUUAUGUAGCCUAAGUGAUUCUCAAGCAGAUGACCAUCUUCCAGGUGGAGGAUCAGUCCCUAAAUAAGGAGGACACUGGCAAGAAUCUUGUCAGUAAUUAUUAAGAGAGAUACACCUCUGUGAUUGUCACAAGGGAGCCUAUUUCCUUUUCCUUUAUAAAGGUGGAAAAUAGCGUCAUUCUUUUAUCUGGUGGGUGAUAACCUUUUCUUGCCAUAUAAACUGGAAUAUUCAACUUUUGAAUGAGAAGUGGACUCCCCACCUUAAAAAUCUCUGCUGGAACGAAACCAGCACCAAGCACUUUUCCAAAUGAGAGUGCCUACUGGCAUUCAAAAGCUCUUUUUCAGUUGAAAGUUAAGCUACUUCAAGCUGAGGAAGUCUAAUCCUAUGAAACGCAAAUGUCCCAGGCCAAAAAUGCAACUACUUUCAGCUUUUCUACAUAUUUCUCAGGCUCUUUUCCUCUAAAAGAUCAUCAACCCAAGAACCUGUAUAAGAAAGAGUAAGUAAUUAAAAAAUAAUUUAAUAGAUAUGAGAACCAAUUGAUAUGUGUCCUCUAUACAAUUAACAAAUCAUAACCCAUCCAUUUGGACUUUCUAAUUGUGGGUAACCUAUUUCCAUGUUCUUUCAUAAAUCUUCCAGAGGAAGUCCACCCACCCAACAAGUUAUAUGUCAUCCCCUAGCUCUAUAAACAUUUCACUGUUACUGACUGAGUAUACAGUCUACCAAUUGGUCAUUUCUCCUUCCCAUUGUAUCAUCGAUC
ensembl:lncRNA